GUUUCUGUACAGCACUUUGAGUUAUCAGCUGAUGUAAGAAGGGCUAUAUAAAUAAAUUUGAUUUGAUUUGAUCAGAUGGAUGUUUGCACCACCAACUAAGGGUCUGGCAUUGAUGCUGACCAAUGUCUAUGUGUGAGGACCAGAAGAAGAAAAAUGUCUAUGUGUGAGGACCAGAAUAAGAACAAAGCAGAAAUGGAAAGCAGGAGGACUGUAGAAAACUGAGUGACAUUGGUUCUAUGUCGCAUGGCUGUUAGCCAACAGUUGUUUUAUGUUAACAUCGAUCAGGGAGUCUUAAUGUGAGUCAGAUCCUCAGGACCAGGGCCCUGCAUUUUGAAGGCUUCCAACUGGGCAAAAACUGCUUUAAUCAACAAUGUUUCAACGUUAAUUCAACAAAAUAAAUGUCAUGCGAUGAAGAUGAAAUAACUGAUUGGAUUUGCAAAAAGUCAUCGACCUAAGGGCAUUGUAUCUUUUUCUCACCCAACUUUUAACCUAAGUCCAAUGACAUGGUGACAUUGUUUUUUGAUUUCACAUUCUAAUCACAUUAGUUAACUCAACCAAACGUAAAUAAAAACUAAAAGUUGAACUGACAUCUGUGCCCAGUGGGUUUUUAAGACUUUUUGAAUUUUAGAUAUGAAAAUACCAACGGAUUUGACGUUACACCAUAGGCACCCAACUGGCACCCUACAUAGUGCAUUACUUUUGACCAGAGUCCUAGGAGUCAUUGGGAUGUAGCCCAAGUAUAGGGCCAUUUUGGUAAUAAUCUUGACACAAAAUGUAUUACACACGUGUAUACACUGAGUA